UAGCGGAGGAAAAGAAACUAACAGGGAUUCCCUUAGUAAGGGCGACUGAACCGGGAAGAGCCCAGCGCAGAAGCUCUUGUCCCCAAGCGGGCAGGAGCGGUGUUGCGUUUCGGAGGGUCCGGCACGCCGUGCCAUACCGCCUAAGUCAAGCUUGAACGCGGCCACUACCCAUGGAGGGUGACAGGCCCGUAUGGCGGCGCCCGCGAGGGUAGAGAUGGUGCGGUCGGAAAGGACCCCUCCGUAGAGUCGGGUUGCUUGAAAGUGCAGCCCAAAGUAGGUGGUAAACUCCUUCUAAAGCUAA
rnacentral:rRNA from 1 species